UGAGCCACUGAGCAGAGCACUCGCACAUGUAAACGAGCUGACGAACCGGGGAAAAGUCUUGUGAGUGUGCGUGAGCGAGAGAGGAGCCGGGUUUUCACCGUGUUGAGCCUCUGAGAACUCCGACUGGUUUUUCGUUUUGGUUUCGUUCGAAGGAUUAGGAUUUGAUUCGGAUUCCGGACCGAGGAGGUUCGGUGGCGAGCCAUUAGGACGAGCGAUUCAGACGGAACGGUGCAUGGUCUGGCCAACUGUGGGAUUCAUUCCGAGGAGCUUCUGACACCAUCUCACUUCACUUGUGACACAGAUAAGGACAUAACACAAAAAUCUACCCGGGUAGUAACCUUAAGGACUGAACUUUGAACAUUACACACACAGAACAUGAACAUAAACUGAACUCUAACCUUCUACAAAAGAAGGAGGGACACUUUCUUUUGAACUUUUUUUCAUUUUUUAUUUAUUUAAUUAUUUUUCAACCAAUUAAAAAGAGCUCUAUUUUUCUGUAUAUUUUAUUUUCAUGCACUGCAAAAAUACUUACUUGUCAUGGCAAUAAAUGUCAACUAUUAACCUCAUGGUAUUGCGUUUUUCUAACUAUUACCAGCUCUCCGAACCUAGCAAGAGUGUUAGUGUCAUUUGUUUGUUGCUAAUCAGACUACAGGCGCUACAUAAAACUUGGCGAGCCAGCCAGGAGUUGGUUUAACUCUUUUGAACGUGAGGUUUAACAGUGUGACAUUUAUUGUACAUUUCUGUGAACAUUGAUGCCAUUUCAUUUUCAUAAGAUUGUGGUACAAAUACAAACAUGGAUAGAGUUACAAGGGAAAAUGUCAAGGUACCUAAUUCACUGUUAGUUAGUGGUGUAACUGGUUGUGAG